CAGAUGACCACUGGUCAUUUCAAGGUCAUUCAUUUGAAGGUCAAGGUCACUGUGACCUUCAAUAUAAAAAAUGUUAAAGUUGUUAUAACUUUGGUAUGCUUGGACCUAGAGUCUUGAAACUUGACAUAAAGGUUGGCCAGAACUAGUAAGUAACCACUGGACAUUUCAAGGUCAUUCAUUUGAAGGUCAAGGUCACUGUGACCUUGAAUGUAAAAAUGUUAAAGUUCUUAUAACUUUGGUAGGUAAAAAUGUUAAAGUUCUUAUUCCAUGUUAUAACUUUGGUAUGCUUGUACCUAGAGUCUUCAAACUUGACAUAAA